AUGGCGGAGAACAGCACACAGCUGCUCGACGCCCUCUGUCGCCACCGCGAGCUCCUGAGGAGGGAGACCGAGUCCCUGAGAAAGGAGGUCACGUCCCGGGGCCUAUCGACGUUCGCCGGAAAGAAGGCCUACGUGAGCUCCAACUCGACAUCAACGAUCCACGCGCCGCCGCAGCUGGUCGACCCCACAACAACCACCUUGCACCGGGUGAGUUUGCCCUACGUCGUCCGCAACCGCGACGAGGCCCUCGGCUUCCUUCUAAGCGAGUCGGACGACAUGCGCCGCCGGAUCGAGUCUCUGGCGUCGAUUCUAAGGGAGCUCGGCGCUGACAGUGCUGCUACCACGGGCUUCUCCCCGGAGAAGAUCAAGAUGCUGUACCUCAUGUCCCGCGCAUCCCUGAGCAUCUCCCAAUAUAUGGCCAGGUCUGGAUCGUCCGCCAUUGCCAAGGAGGAGGAUGAUGGAGCUUCUUCUUAUGACCAGCACCAAUAUCGUGCCGGCUGGGAAUCCACGUGGGGCAGCAGCAUGGGAGGCUGUGGUUCCUUCUAUGACAUAACCACGUUGAGUCCUAUGCUAUUCACGCCCUCCACGCCUGGUAUUUCCAACUACUCUGGUACCGCCAGCCACGCCUUGCAGAUAUACUCCUUGGAAAUUGUUGACCUCAACGUCAACUUGAGCUGGCCGCUCCACGUGUAG
rnacentral:rRNA from 1 species